rnacentral:tRNA from 1 species
UGACCUCGUAGCUCAGUUGUUGGCAGAGCAUUGGACUAGUAUCCCAAAGGUCGUGGGUUUGAUUCCCACCGUUCAG